rnacentral:antisense_RNA from 1 species
CUUGCCCGACCCGACCAGCACCGGGCGGACCGCCGGGCGGUCCUGGCCGUAGGUCGCCAGCAGCGCCUGCGCCUC